ACACGAGUUAAGUGAUUCCGAGCUGCAAAUUCUAUGUGUUGGGGAGGCCCGCUGCUGUCGCCUUACUCUGGGAAGAUGGGGAGGUCCACUCUGUUCUCACGGUUCUCCUCCAGUCUCCCGACCUUGGCGAGAAUCUCCCAAUGAAGCCCAAACUAGCCUUACUGCAGUCUCCAAGUGCGUGCGCCACCAGGCCCAGCUUGCCCCUGCAUCUUGACUGAACUGAAACACCUUAAGAACCCAGGCGAACAGAAUGUGAAGACAACAGGAAGUUGGCUGGAGCUUCAGGAAGUCACCGCUAAGGUGGCCUCAGAGAGAAACCAGUGUGGUGAGCUCCUGACAUGCGCAGGUGGUGAGCCGCUUCUCCCUAGGAAAAGCCUGGCCGGUGCCUCUGGUUUGCACCGGUCAAGGAAACCAAAAUAGCACAGGUAGCCCGGAGCCUUGUGUGUACAGGAAAGUAUUCAAAUGCUGGCAGAUGGAGGUGUCCUCUCCUGCUAGCGGCAGCCUUGGCGUCGACAGUCUUGCCUGGGAGCUGGGUCACAGCAGCUGCAGCGAAACAGUGGAAAUGAAAGCCCAGACAGAUAUAACAGCAGUGAACCAAGAGCCAUCAGGUGCUCAGGAAGGAAGCUGAAGCCAGGAGACUGAGCAAAGCUGUGCCAGCCCGGGAACAGGCACCCCUGUUGUGAAAAGCCAAAGGGGUGGAGUGUUGCAGUCUGGAGGAUCAGGUUUCUCGACGUGGAAGCUGAAGCUCGGGCAGGGGCCAGCGCACUGAGCUCAGGCUUUGCUCCAAGGUCGGGGGCACAAAACCCUGCCGAUUUCUACCCUAGAGGGUGCCAGCCGGGUGCACUCAUUCCUCCCGGGCAUUGACAGGGCUUCAGGGGCCAUGGAGACUGUUGCUUCUUGAGUAAAACUGGACAUCCUGCUCCCUCACGGAGGUGGCGAAGGGCUACUUGGGAUAGAAAUGGUGCUGUGGUUGAAACUCGCCCCCAGCAUCCACGUUCUGGGAACUUAAUGCCUAGUGAACAGUGUCCAGGGAAGCAUCAGAACUGAAACCCCAGGCUGGAGCAGGAAGAUUCUAAGUUCAAGGCCAAGCUGGGUGACUCACUUCUGAUCCUCACAGUCUAAGUCAUGGCAAGCCUGACGAACCCUCGGGAGACCUGCAGGCUGAUAAAGGUGUCUGCGACAAACCCUGACAAAUUCUAAACCAAACUCUGAAGUACACAGAUGGUCAGCCUGUGAAGUGGCCCCAAACUGCAGAGCCGUGCCAGGCGCCCCUACCAUCUAGGGGACCGCUGAAGAGGCCAGCUCGGAGCCUCUUUGCCACAGCUGUGUUUUCCUGGCUGGGAUGAGCCUGCUCUCCAGAGGAUGCGGGACAGUGACAUCCAGCACGGCAGCCACUCGGGGCCAUCUCUUCUGCAGAGGUGGUUUUUCUCACCCUCCUUCAUCCAAACGCAUAUGCCAUUUUUUUUUAAAAAAAAAUUGUUAAAAUUAAUCUUAUUUAAAAUGUUUAAUUAAAUGUCACGGAAAAUGAAAUGAAAACAAUUCUGAAGGUUGGUCUAUAUUGUAGGUGUUUUCUGUCAGAUCCCUUGUUCCCAGGAAGAAACAUGAGCUGUAAACGUCACAUUUUUUUUCAGUCCUGAGUUGCCAUUACACCAGUCAAAGAAAGAAGUUGCCAUCCAACCAUCCAUCAACAGCAACUUUGAGCAAGCACAGUGUGAGCGACUGCCAGCUGCUGAUGACGGGCUUCCAGAACAGAAUGAUAGGCCUACAGGCAGUGACUGAGUAUGAUGACAGCAGCCAAUGUAGAGAAGGGUCAGUGGCUGGCUGGCCUAUUUAUUUUAAAAUUGAAACCCACUAAUCACUUACUUGAAGUAGUGGCAAAUGGCAGCAUUGUGGUUUCAGAAAGAUUUCUGCCACAUCCUGGCUAGUGACAAGUA